GGACCAAUGGAGAGCCACAACACCGGCGGAGAGGCCCGGAGCUCCGCCCCCGCCCCGGGGGCCGGUUCAGAGGCGGCCGGACGGGACUCGGACCCGCGGGUUGUGAAAGACCGAGUGAAUCUUCUGGAACAGAACACCAGCUCAGUUGACCAGUCAGACGGCUACCUGAGAGACAGUUGCAGGAUCACAGAGCUAGAGAGGUCAGAGACGGCUCUGCUGCAGCAGCUCAGCCAGCUAGCCACUGGCGCCACGCCGCACCGCCGUCCCAGCAUGCAUCACACCCAGCGGCUGGACCAGAGGCUCCACAGCCUCAGGGACGAGGUCCGCAUCGUGGUUCAGAGCACAUUGUUAUUUGGAGCUACAGAGUGGACAUUACAAGAAAAACCAAUAGCGUUAAAGUUGCCUAACUCUACUACGUCCCAUGAGAAGGAGCGAGGGGAGCGUGUGUGGCGGGAGCGUCUGCUGCGCUGCCAGAACCAGCUGAAGGCCAAGGAGGAGGAGAUGGGCCGCCAGUCCCAGUACUUCCACCACUUCAAGACCCAGCUGCAGCACAAGCUGGGCCAGGCCCGGGACCGCGAGCAGGGCCUGCAGAACCGCCUCCACGCCCUGGAGAAGCAGCUGCUGGACGUCACCGUGUCGGCCGCCACCACCAUGACCGCCGUCAUGACGACCAAGAUGGCCGCGCCCUGCGUUGCCGUGGCGACCGGGCCGGGGGAGGACAGGGUGCCCUGCCUGCGG
ensembl:lncRNA